UACGUAGGGUGCAAGCGUUGUCCGGAAUUAUUGGGCGUAAAGAGCUCGUAGGCGGUUUGUCGCGUCUGCCGUGAAAGUCCGGGGCUCAACUCCGGAUCUGCGGUGGGUACGGGCAGACUAGAGUGAUGUAGGGGAGACUGGAAUUCCUGGCGUAGCGGUGAAAUGCGCAGAUAUCAGGAGGAACACCGGUGGCGAAGGCGGGUCUCUGGGCCGUAACUGACGCUGAGGAGCGAAAGCAUGGGGAGCGAACAGG
rnacentral:rRNA from 1 species